CUCAAACCUCUACCUUUUCUCCUCCUUCUCUCUAGAAAUCAUCCAUCUCCUUUCACUUUUUCCUCAAACAGCCACCGUCUAAGCAAUUUGGGAGUCAAGAUCUUCAAUCUACACCGAUCAAAAUCAAGUUUAGAGUCAAGUGUUCUUGGUAUAAUCCUGGGAAGGAAGCAAAGUCUGGAAAAAAAUAAUCAUUAUUCGGUCUGGUCAAGAGAAGGAGCUAAAGUUUUUCUGGAGCAGGCGAUGGCAGGAGAAGAUGGUUCUUGCUAGGGUAAGACCGUUCGGUCUGGUGCUGGUUUUGUAUUAGUAAAAGACCGUUUGGUUUAAUACGUUGCUUGUAUGACUGAUCAGUCUGAUCUUAUGAAUUGUG